rnacentral:rRNA from 1 species
UACGGGGGAGCAAGCGUUGUUCGGAUUUACUGGGCGUAAAGGGCGCGUAGGCGGCCACCGCAAGUCGACAUGUGAAAUCUCCGGGACCUUAACCCGGAAGGGUCAGCCGAUACUGCGGGGCUAGAGUGCAGAAGGGGCAACUGGAAUUCUCGGUGUAGCGGUGAAAUGCGUAGAUAUCUGGAGGAACAUCAGUGGCGAAGGCGACACCCUGGACUCAUACUGACACUGAGGUGCGAAAGCGUGGGGAGCAAACAGG